UGUGUAUGCACGUGCUUCACGCACACGUCAGUUUGGCCAGUGGGGCCUGACAGCCAGGGCCCCGCAUGCUUUCCUAUUGGUUGAUUUGGUGUGAGGGCGGGUACUGGGCAUUGCUAACUUGUCAAUUAACUAUAGAUUAUUUAGUGGCUGUGCGAUUUGGUACUCUACCGAUUGAACAUAAAUUAGAGAUUAAACGUCUGGGACCCCAUAGACCAGAAGAUUUCACCCUUUGUCAAGAAGGAAAGGAUAAAAAUAGAUCAUUCAACCAUGAAUGGUUCAAACAUAAAAAAUGGCUAACGGCUAGCCAAUCAAAAAAAGCACUCUUCUGUUUUCCAUGCCUUCUUUCUGGAGGGGAAACUGUCUGGACAAUGACUGGAUUUAAGGACUUGAAACAUCUAUCAGAAAGGCUCGUAAAACAUGAGAGCUGCGCAUCACAUGUGGAUAAUGCCAUCAAGCUCGGCUUAUUAGACGUGACAUUGAAGAGCACAAUUGCCAGACUGAAGAAAACAGGUAUGUUCUUGGCAGAAUUAUAACCUGUUUAAAACUGUGCGGGAAGUGUGAACUUGCCCUGCAUGGACAUGAGUCUGCCAACUCCUUAAACCCCGGCAUUUUCAGG